rnacentral:lncRNA from 1 species
AUGCCAUGCUUGGUCCUGGUUAUAGAUGAUGGCCGCGCCCAAACUCCUGGCGGGGUUGAUUCCUGUUCCGGUGAUGGGAAUUGUGGCCAAGUGUACCAAGAACACCGCGAAUCCUAUAGGCAACGGUGCCAAGAUCUGAUCACACAACAUUAAGUCCGAUUAGUAUGAAUUUAAUUAAAUUUAUAACUAAUCCAAUUAAGUCUGAUUCCCGUAAAUUUAAUUAACUUGUGACUAGUCCGAUUAAGUCCUACUAGCAGUGAAUUAUUACUAAACAUAGAAAUACUCUAAAAAAAUUAGGAACAAAAAUUUAGAAGCUUACAGGGACGUGAGAGUCUCUGGCGCUACGCUUGGCAUCAGUGGCGGAGAAGACGGUGUAAACAAGCACGAAAGUUCCGACAAUCUCGGCACCGAGACCAUCACCUUUGGUGUAGCCAUGAGCCACAACAUUAGCACCACCACCCUUAUCAGUAAACACUCUCUUCCCCUCGAACCCUUUAACCACUCCAGCCCCGCAGAUCGCACCCAAGCACUGCAUCACCAUGUAGUACACAGCCCUGGUCAAAGUCAACUUCCUCGCCAGAAACA